CAGGACGAACGCUGGCGGCACGCUUAACACAUGCAAGUCGAACGGAGUUAUCGAGAGCUUGCUUUUGAUAACUUAGUGGCGGACGGGUGAGUAACACGUGAGCAAUCUGCCCUUAAGAGGGGGAUAGCAGUUGGAAACGACUGAUAAUACCGCAUAAGAUAGUAGUACCGCAUGGUACAGCUAUAAAAGAUUUAUCGCUUAAGGAUGAGCUCGCGUCUGAUUAGCUAGUUGGUGAGGUAACGGCUCACCAAGGCAACGAUCAGUAGCCGGACUGAGAGGUUGGACGGCCACAUUGGGACUGAGACACGGCCCAGACUCCUACGGGAGGCAGCAGUGGGGAAUAUUGCACAAUGGAGGCAACCCUGAUCCAAGCAACGCCGCGUGAGUGAUGAAGUAUCUUGGUAUGUAAAGCUCUAUCAGUAGGAACGAAAAUGACGGUACCUAACUAAGAAGCCCCGGCUAACUACGUGCCAGCCGCUGC
rnacentral:rRNA from 1 species